rnacentral:rRNA from 1 species
GAUGAACGCUGGCGGCGUGCUUAACACAUGCAAGUCGAGCGAAGCACUUAAGUUCGAUUCUUCGGAUGAAGACUUUUGUGACUGAGCGGCGGACGGGUGAGUAACGCGUGGGUAGCCUGCCUCAUACAGGGGGAUAACAGUUAGAAAUGGCUGCUAAUACCGCAUAAGACCACGGUACUGCAUGGUACAGUGGUAAAAACUCCGGUGGUAUGAGAUGGACCCGCGUCUGAUUAGGUAGUUGGUGAGGUAACGGCCCACCAAGCCGACGAUCAGUAGCCGACCUGAGAGGGUGACCGGCCACAUUGGGACUGAGACACGGCCCAGACUCCUACGGGAGGCAGCAGUGGGGAAUAUUGCACAAUGGGCGAAAGCCUGAUGCAGCGACGCCGCGUGAAGGAUGAAGUAUUUCGGUAUGUAAACUUCUAUCAGCAGGGAAGAAAAUGACGGUACCUGACUAAGAAGCC